rnacentral:rRNA from 1 species
CCUAGGGAGGCUGCAGUGGGGAAUAUUGGACAAUGGGCGAAAGCCUGAUCCAGCCAUGCCGCGUGUGUGAAGAAGGCCUUCGGGUUGUAAAGCACUUUCAGUGGGGAAGAAAGCCUUGGGGCUAAUACCCUCGAGGAAGGACAUCACCCACAGAAGAAGCACCGGCUAACUCCGUGCCAGCAGCCGCGGUAAUACGGAGGGUGCGAGCGUUAAUCGGAAUUACUGGGCGUAAAGCGCGCGUAGGCGGUCUGAUAAGCCGGUUGUGAAAGCCCCGGGCUCAACCUGGGAACGGCAUCCGGACCUGUCAGGCUAGAGUGCAGGAGAGGAAGGUAGAAUUCCCGGUGUAGCGGUGAAAUGCGUAGAGAUCGGGAGGAAUACCAGUGGCGAAGGCGGCCUUCUGGACUGACACUGACGCUGAGGUGCGAAAGCGUGGGUAGCAAACAGGAUUAGAUACCCGGGUAGUC